AUUGAACGCUGGCGGCAGGCCUAACACAUGCUAGUCGAGCGAGCGGCGGACGGGUGAGUAAUGUCUGGGAAACUGCCUGAUUGCGGGGGAUCACUCCUGGACACGGUAGCUAAUACCGCUUACCCUCAGCUGUACCCAGAUGGGAUUAGCUAGUAGGUGGGGUAAUGGAUCACCGAGGCGACGAUCCCUAGCUGGUCUGAGCGGAUGACCAGCCAAACUGGAACUGAGACAGGGUCCAGACGCCGACGGGAGGCAGCAGUGGGGAAUAUUGCAAAAUGGGCGCAAGCCUGAUGCAGCCAUGGCGGGUGUAUGAAGAAGGACUUCGGGUUGUAAAGCACUGUCAGCGAGGAGGCGUAACUCGCAGAAGAAGCACGGGCAAACACCGUGCCAGCCGCAGCGGUAAUAC
rnacentral:rRNA from 1 species